rnacentral:rRNA from 1 species
AUUGAACGCUGGCGGCAUGCCUUACACAUGCAAGUCGAACGGCAGCACGGGAGCAAUCCUGGUGGCGAGUGGCGAACGGGUGAGUAAAGUAUCGGAACGUGCCCAGUCGUGGGGGAUAACGUAGCGAAAGUUACGCUAAUACCGCAUACGAUCUAUGGAUGAAAGCGGGGGAUCGCAAGACCUCGCGCGAUUGGAGCGGCCGAUAUCAGAUUAGGUAGUUGGUGGGGUAAAGGCUCACCAAGCCGACGAUCUGUAGCUGGUCUGAGAGGACGACCAGCCACACUGGGACUGAGACGCGGCCCAGACUCCUACGGGAGGCAGCAGUGGGGAAUUUUGGACAAUGGGCGAAAGCCUGAUCCAGCCAUGCCGCGUGCAGGAUGAAGGCCUUCGGGUUGUAAACUGCUUUUGUACGGAACGAAAAGGUUUGGCCUAAUAAGCUGAGCUCAUGACGGUACCGUAAGAAUAAGCACUGGCUAACUACGUGCCAGCAGCCGCCGUAA